GAUGAAACACGCAACUCGAAAAUGAAAAUAUUUCCCUUUACCUGCAAUAACACGUUUUACUCGAAAACUACAGUUCCUAAAUUACAGAAUAAUAACAUUGUUACCUAAUAUUCCGGUGUUGGUUUUAUCCGGUGGUGUAUCCAAAAUGUCUAAAAGGGAAUGGGGAAAUAAAUAAAAUACCCGAUUGAAAACGUAUAUUAAA